UACGGGGGGGGCAAGCGUUGUUCGGAAUUACUGGGCGUAAAGGGCUCGUAGGCGGCCAACUAAGUCAGACGUGAAAUCCCUCGGCUUAACCGGGGAACUGCGUCUGAUACUGGAUGGCUUGAGUUUGGGAGAGGAAUGUGGAAUUCCAGGUGUAGCGGUGAAAUGCGUAGAUAUCUGGAGGAACACCGGUGGCGAAGGCGGCAUUCUGGACCGAAACUGACGCUGAGGCGCGAAAGCCAGGGGAGCAAACGGG
rnacentral:rRNA from 1 species